AGAGCGGCAGAGACACACAGAGGCUGGAAAGAGAAAACCCGUUUGACAAGCACAACAAAAGGCAGUGAAACUCCAAACCGGAGGCAGCACUGAGAGACAAUGGAGCAGGAUUAGAAGUCUGGAGCGAGAGACAGAGAGAUGAGGAAAAACAAGCUGUUCUCUGUAGAGAGAUCUAAAGAGGCUAUUGAGCCGGGCUUCACACAAGCAGUAUUUGGCAAAUCAUUGUUUACUGUUACUCUGAUUUGAAUGGCACACCAUAAAUAACCAUAAACCCCAUUCCAAGUCAGCCUCCAGCAUCCACUUGAUAUGGAUGAGGCUGCUUUUUUUUGCCAAAGUUUUUGAGCUAUUUUGAAGAGGAUUACUCUUAUAUAAGGAUUAUCGCCACAAAAGAUCUAUUAUAAGACUGUAAACAGAUAGGAUGAUUCAAUGAAAAACAUAUUUCACUGGCAAAAUCAAACUUGCCUUGGCUUGAAAUGUGCUUAAGGCAUAUUGAUGUAACGAUUAAAUCUGAAACUGUGUUUUCAGGGGGCAGUUAAUCAUAACAGAUGUAUGACUCUGAUUGGAGUUGUCGUUGGAAUUGAGAGCAAAAAUUAGUUUGCCACACACAUCACAACAAGAUCACAUCCAACUGAAUGAUCUUAUAGUACUGAACCACACAGCAUGGUCAAUAUUGUUGUUAUAUAUCUAUAUCUCUAUUUAUCUCCAUAUAUUUAUAUAUGUAUAUAUAUACCAUAUAUCACCUGACUUUUUAAAAAAUGUUUCACCACUGCAUUGAUUUCUUGAGGAGUAAAAGAUGGCAUCAUCUUGCACACUGCAUAAGACAAUUAAAAGGCUCAUUGACUAGCAAUUCAUUAGAAUAAGCACUCAAUAUAAAUACAAUAUGAGGCUACUGAUAGGAACUGUGAUUCCAUCUUUCUCUACCCAGGGAUUGUAGUGAAACAAUCUGACACACAAUAGAAUAAUUUGUUUACCUAAAUUGUGUUUCUACAGCUCAGAAAAGCCUUUGCAUGGAAUUUGGCAACACAAAGAACAUCAAGCUCUCAGAAAUGGCAGCCAAGAGUGGAGGGGGAAGCUUUGGCAGACUAGCAGAGCAGACACAAAACACUUACCUAAUGCCUCGGUUUUAACUAUGUUUUAUCGGCAUGAGGUCAGUUGUUGGUCCCAAGAUGAAUUGUCCUUCUUUUUAACCGCACCAGUUGGUUGGAGGAACCCUUCUUGGAGUCAGUUUGCAUCACUCCCUCUCUCUCUCUCCCCCUGUUGAUAUUUUGUGUGACUCCCUGCUCCUUAUUUGCCCUCUGGAUCAUUCUCUAGAUGCUCUUGACUUUUCCACAAGUCUCUCAACCUGUCAUAACUGUGCAACAUAAAACAGACUCAAUAUGUUGUUUUGCAAGGUUGUUUGUGGAUUCCUGGAGCCUGUCUCGUGAAGGAAGAUAAACUUGGCUGAAUAAAACCUUCAAACCUGAUCUGGAACAUGGAGACUUGUAUUGGGUUUUACUCAAGUAUAGUUAACCAGCUAAAUGAGUAAUCCUGCUUUGUGAGAUAAGCCCCUGGUGCUGCACUUGCUCAGUAAUGUUUGUUUUCUGUGUGUGGGUUGGUAGGGAAAGGUAGGGGAAGGACAGCUGUCAAAACUUAUCAGAGGCAGUGAGAUACAGGUGAGGGAAGCAGGAAAAAAAAAGCACAGUGCAAGUAGAGCACAUAUGAAGGGCAGAGAUAUCCUGCAGCAUUUUCUAAAUAUGGCUUACAAUAUUCUUCCAAGAAUACAAAUAUGUACUCGAAGCACUUGCUUCAACACAAUGUGCUUCAAUAUGCAAAUGAAAACCAUGUAGCAGAGUAUAAUUACAAUUCACCAAUCAAUACACUGAUUUGCCAGUUUAUAGAAUGCAUUAGCUAAAGUUAGCUCUACUAAUUCUAAUUCAAUACUUAGAGAGGUGCUGAUUGAACUUUAUGAUCUUCUGCAGGCUGUUUAUUGUAGUGCUGUUGCAGUCUAUGCAACCGAGAUAUUUCUCAUAUUUAGUCUACCCUAACUGAUAGAAACUGAUCCUUUUCAUGGAAGACCGUUUGACUUGUCGAAGCAGAAACAGCACAGACGGAAUUGAUAACAUUAAUGAUGGCUGCAUUACAUUUACGUGAAACCAGCUCUAGGCUCUGGUAUUGUGCAUGCUCACUCACUGACAUGGCUUACUGGGGCACUUAAUGAAAUGGAGCCAUUGUUAAUGUUAUUAGUUACACCUGUGCUUUUCCUGCUUGUUUAUUAUAUAUAAGUUAACACCUUUCAAAUAAGGUAUUUCCAGCUCCUGGUUUAUCAUAGGACCAUAGCUGUCAAAUAUUAGAUCUUUAUAUUAAGUUGCAUAUAUUCAUCAAUGAUCAAAUGUGCUUAUAUUGACAUGGUUCAAAAAUAUACCUCAAUGUAAAAUGUAAAAGAGCACAGUUUUUGGUUAUAUGAAUAUAUACAGUACAUAGGUACACACUGGUUUAUUUCUUAGCACCUUAGCAGUUCCAAAGUGCCUAUUUCUACAUUUCUCCACCUACCCUAACCUGUCUGUCUCAGAGCUAAGGUCAUCAAUUUUUAAAUUGCUAUUCAGCAGCCUCUAUUUCACAUUUUUUUUGGAAUGGAUACUCAUAAAUAUGUCCAGAGUGCAUUAUCUUAUGUAUCACACAAAGCACCAACUCAUUACUGUCUACUGCCAAAGGCAUAUCUAGCCUAAUCUCUCUCCCCCUCUCUCUGUCGCCUUUUUGUCUCUCUCUCAUAAAGUAAAAGGAAAAUGCAUUUUGCAACUUCAUGAAAACAGAAACACUCCCUCCUACUUCCCACACUGUUGGCUGGGUGAAUCUGAGUUUACAUUUGAAAAAUUAAAGUGUGUAUGUGGUUUCCUACUUGAAA